UACGGAGGGAGCUAGCGUUGUUCGGAAUUACUGGGCGUAAAGCGCACGUAGGCGGCUUUGUAAGUUAGAGGUGAAAGCCCGGGGCUCAACUCCGGAACUGCCUUUAAGACUGCAUCGCUUGAAUCCGGGAGAGGUGAGUGGAAUUCCGAGUGUAGAGGUGAAAUUCGUAGAUAUUCGGAAGAACACCAGUGGCGAAGGCGGCUCACUGGACCGGUACUGACGCUGAGGCGCGAAAGCGUGGGGAGCAAACAG
rnacentral:rRNA from 1 species